GCAUGUUGAUAACCUCUCUCUCUCUCUCUCUCUCUAUAUAUAUAUAUAUAUAUAGAGAGAGAGAGAGAGAGAGAGAGAGAGAGAGAGAGAGAUGAUCUAUCAA
rnacentral:miRNA from 1 species